GACCCCUUGGCUCAGUGGUAGAGCAUCUGAUUCCAGUUAACGAUUGGUUUCCAGAAGGUCGUCCGUUCGAUCCGGGCAGGGGUCA